AUCGAACGCUGGCGGCAGGCCUAACACAUGCAAGUCGAACGAGUGGCGGACUGGCGAGUAGUGUCUUGGAACCUGCCUGAUGGAGGGAUCUAACUGCUGUAAACGGUAGCUACUACCGCAUACCAUCGGAUGUGCCCUGAUGGGAUUAGCUAGUAGGUGGGGUAAAGGCUCACCAAGGCGACGAUCCCUAGCUGGUCUGAGAGGAUGACCGGCCACACUGGGACUGAGACACGGUCCAGACUCCUACGGGAGGCAGCAGUGGGGAAUAUUGCGCAAUGGACGAAAGCCUGAUGCAGCAAUGCCGCGUGUGUGAAGAAGGCCUUCGGGUUGUAAAGUUCUGUCAGCAGGGAGGCGGUACCCAAACAGGAAGCAACGGCUAACUACGUGCCAGCAGCCGCGGUAAUAC
rnacentral:rRNA from 1 species